ncrna:Branchiostoma floridae (Florida lancelet) microRNA bfl-mir-4863 precursor
CCUUGCCUGGUCAUGCAGACAACAUCAGAAUGUCCCUACGGGUUUGUGUAGUUAGUAGGGCCAUUUUGUGUUGUCAGCAGGACCAGUGCACUU